rnacentral:lncRNA from 1 species
CUGUUGGGGAUAUUACCACUAGGCGUAAACCGGCCAGCCUGGGCCGGGUUAACUUCAUUAGUGGUAUAAGCAGAGAAAGGCCCAAGGCCUGUAGUCGGUUUAGAACUUGUAGCCGUAAACCGGCCUGAUGUAUAACUUGUAUUGUAAGUUAGGAAUAGAGAGAUACCAACCGGGAUACGAGUAUGAACCGGUUGGGACUCUAUGAACCGACGGGCGUCACCCGUGUAUAUAAGGGGACGACCCGGCGACGGUUCAAGGACAGACAACCACAACUCGAGCCUAGGUGAAGCUUGUUUGCUCCCUAGCCAUCGAGACCACAUCAAUUCCAUCACAACUAGACGUAGGCUUUUACCUUCAUCGAAGGGGCCGAACUAGUAUAAAACUCUCGUGUCUUUGUGUCCGCUUUAACCCCUUCAAGUAAACUCGUAGCGAUGGCUCCACGACUAAGUCCUUUCACUAGGACAUCUGCCGUGACAAAUCCACAACAGUUGGCGCCCACCGUGGGGCUAUCGCACGAUGGUUUGACGAUCUUGGAGGGAAAGCUCAAGGGACUCGAAGGCUAUGUUGUGGGCCGGAUGACCAAGAGUCGUCGCGGCAGGAUCUACAUCGAUGAUGCAGGAUGGGGUCCCGAGGCCGAUUCGAUCGAGUACGGGUACCGGGUCCCCUUUGGUGGCAUACACGUUUUCAUCGGCAAGAUCGGUGAGCCUGGGCCUGAGCCGGGCAUCUGCACCGACCUCGUCGAGACGGCUCAGCGUGCGAGACCUACCCAGGCUAAACCGGCCAUGAAGCGUGUCUUCGUUGGAGUCGUCCACGGAGGAGAAUGCGAGGACGGUUCAGAACACGGUAGUGAGACCGUCGUCUAUUCCGGCGACGAGUCCUUAACAGGAGAGACUGAAUCAUUGUAUCAGUUACAGGACGAUAUGAUCAGGGGCUGUUCCGAUGGCGACAGUAUUCCGGACCCCCCAGGCCAGAUCAACCGGAUUGGAAUAUUCAUGGCCGGUACGCAGGCGGCGAAUCACUCUUCGACCGCCGCAGCGAUGCUUUCCGGAUCAGCAGCGGCAGCGGCAGCUGGGGCAGGAGGCCUUGAGCGCCCGCCGGUUCAAGUUCUAUCAGAUCUGUUUGAUGCACUAGCUGCGCUUAUGGCAGAGGACAAUCCGGCGGAUCAGGAGGCCCAUGAUGCAGAGAUUGCGAAAGUGAAAGAGCAGAUCACGCAAGCCAAAGCGGAUCUAGCGGCAGAAAAGGACAGGAUGGCUGCAGAGCGGGCCCCUCUGGACGCCCAGGCUUACAAACUCAUGCUUGACCAGAGUGCGUCGCAGGAGGUGUUGAAGCGGAAGUAUAGAUCACGCCUGCCAUUAGGGUUUGACCCCAGAAAUCUCUUUCAGACCCCGGGAGCUGGACCCAGUAAUCCGCCGCAGCACCGGGAGGCAAACCGGAUUGAGGCACCAGGGCCAGGGGCGAUGGUCCAACCUCGCCUGAUGGAGCCUCCUCAGCAGAACAUUGUGGUUCCUCCACCGGUUCAGACGCCCCCAGGUCAUUAUUCUAACCCUAUGGACAACCUUGUUGCAGCCGCCGCGCGAUUGGAGGCUAUCCCAGUCGAAGGGGACUCCCCGCAAGCGGUAGAGACGCGCCGGGUUAAGGAGCUUCUCCGAACUGCACUGAUUCAGCAGGAAGCAUAUUCGUACAGCCGUGAUCGGAUUCAUUCUACGCCCCGUCCAAGCUGGAGCUAUAGCAGGCGCGUGGAUGAACCGGCCAUAUCGAGCAAUGCGCGGGACUGUGAAGCGGCCCGUGGCAAUAACCCGACAGGUGGCAUCCGCGAUGCUCAGGAGGUGGUGGACCGGGCCCGGGCACGAAGGGAGGCCGAAUUAGCAGCGCAGGAUGACGCGGGUCAACUUACACCGGUCCGCCCUACCACCUUCGCCGGACCAGGAGUCGCAUCCGCUUUAGGGGUGCCUUGUUUGAUCCUUGCUUUACGCAAUAUGCGCCUGCCUAAAGAUUUCAAGGGUCCGCGCAAGGUACCAAAUUACACCGCCGAUUUGUCCCCUGAAGCGUGGGUAGAAAGUUAUGAGAUGGCCAUGGAGAUGCUAGACGUGGAUGAGACUGCGUGUGCAAAAUACUUCACCAUGAUGCUUGAAGGCACGGCUCGUACUUGGUUGAAGAGCCUACCGCCCAAUUCUAUCAGCUCAUGGGCCCAGUUGCGGGCCCGGUUUAUCCAGAAUUUCAAGGAUACAUGUAAGCAGCCCAAGUCCAUAGUGGACCUGGCGACUUGUGUCCAGGAGGAAGGAGAAUCAACGACCCAUUGGGUACGUCGCGUUUCGGAGAUUUUGCACUCAUCUGACUGGAUUAAUGCUGACUCUGCAAUCUUAACCCUGGAAGGCAACUGCCGGUUUGAGCCUUUGAAAUUGAAAUUGGGGCGCAUGAAGCGGUUCUAUAAUGACAUGGGAACCCUCAUGGCCGCUUUAGUGAAGUAUGUUGAUUCAGACAGUACCAAGGAUCCCGAGGCUGAUGAUGAUGAAGCAGGGAAGGGAAAGAAGAAUGGCAACUCCAAGGGGCAAUAGUACAAACUGGCGGGUCAUGGAAACGGAGGCAAGCGUAAAGCGGAUGGCAACAUGGACUUUGUGGCCAAUACUAAUGCACAGGACAGGGGGCAGCGGCGCAGAGGUAAAGCGGCAAAUCGUAAUGGGGGUCCCAAUCCUAACGCAAGCCGUUUGAAUUACUUGUUGAAUCAGCCUUGCCCAAAGCACGGGACGAAGGAGUCACCGGCUAACCACCUUUGGAAAGAUUGUUAUAUUAUGCAGGAGUUCAAAAAAUCUAAUGCCUUCCGGUAUGACCAGGGGUCAGGUGGCGGUUCAGGAUCCGUUUUCCACGGGCCGGGUCACGGUGGAGCUUCCGGUUCAGGUCUUAAUCAGGGCGGUCACAACAACCAGAAUAAUCAGAACGGCCAGCAGCAGCAGCAACAGCAGUCGGGUUAUCAGAGCCAACCAAAGCAGUUGAACAAUGGGCAAUAUCAUGUUUUCACGACUAGCUUGGAUAAGCGCGACCGAAAACUCCACAAGCGAGUAGUGAACUCUGUUGAACCGGCCUUGCCAUGUUACUUAUGCUGGUCGGAGCAGCCUAUCAUGUGGAGCCGAGAGGAUCAUCCACCCCGGGUUGAUAAUCCGGGCCAGCUAGCAUUAGUGGUGGACCCUCAGGUGGGGGGUUAUAAGUUCACCAAGGUGCUUAUGGAUGGAGGAAGUAGUAUUAACAUACUAUACUAUGAGACUUUCCGCCGCAUGGGUCUAACAGACAAGGAUCUCAGACCGUCUAAUACGGUGUUCCAUGGUGUAGUACCAGGCAAAUCUGCAUAUCCUGUUGGUAAGAUAGCCCUAGAUGUGGCUUUUGGGGACGAGCACGAUUCCCGGUCUGAAAAACUAACCUUUGAGGUGGUGAAGAUCCGGAGCCCGUAUCACGCCUUGUUUGGGCGGCCGGCUUAUGCUAAGUUCAUGGCGCGACCUUGUUAUAUCUACUUGCAGCUCAAGAUGCCGGGUUACAAAGGGACGAUAACGGUUCAUGGGAGCCGCAGGGUUGCUUUGGAAUGUGAGGAAGGUGAUGCGGCCUAUGCAGAGUCGGUCUGUGCCACGGAGGAGUUGAAGUUUUAUAAGGACAAUGUUGAUCUGGCAGAUAUGACCCCUUUGAAGAAACCAACUACAAAGCAUGACUCGGAUCUGAAGUUUAAAUCGGCAGCUGAGACCAAGCUUGUUGACUUUGUGCCCGGUGAUUCGUCCAAGCAGUUCGUUAUCAGUGCCAACCUGGAUCCCAAAUAGGAAGGCGCGCUCAUCGAGUUCAUCCGUGAGAAUCGGGACAUCUUUGCAUGGAAGCCAUCUGACAUGCCAGGUGUACCGAGGGAACUCGCUGAGCACACUCUUAAUGUGGAUCCUAAGUAUAAACCGGUGAAACAAUUCCUCUGCCGGUUUAACGAAGAAAGGCGCAAAGCCAUUGGAGAGGAAGUAGCCAGGCUUUUGGCAGCUGGCUUUAUCAUUGAGGUGUUUCAUCCAGAGUGGCUUGCUAAUCUGGUGCUGGUUCUUAAGAAAAACGGCACUUGGCGUAUGUGUGUGGAUUACACAGAUCUUAACAAGGCCUGUCCAGCAGAUCCUUUUGCCCUCCCCCGCAUUGAUCAGAUCAUUGAUGCCACGGCGGGUUGUGAGCGUUUGAGUUUUUUGGAUGCGUAUUUUGGAUAUCAUCAGAUCAAAAUGGCGGUUAAGGACCAGGAGAAAACAGCGUUUAUCACUCCCUUUGGAGCCUUCUGCUAUGUAUCUAUGCCCUUCGGGCUCAAGAGCGCCCAAGCUACCUAUCAGCGGUGCGUACAGAAUUGCCUGCAUAAACAGAUCGGCCGCAAUGUGCACGCCUAUGUGGAUGAUAUUGUAGUGAAAUCAAGGCAGAAGGAGACGCUGGUGGAUGAUUUGAAGGAAACCUUUGACAACUUGCGCAUUUACAAGAUGAUGCUUAAUCCGGCCAAGUGUGUCUUUGGUGUUCCGGCAGGCAAGUUAUUGGGGUUUCUGGUGUCUAACAGAGGAAUUGAGGCUAAUCCGGAGAAAAUUAAGGCUAUUACUUCCUUGGCUAAACCGAAGUGCAUAAAUGAUGUUCAGCGUUUGGCAGGCAGAAUCGCCGCACUGAGCCGGUUUAUCAGCCGCCUCGGAGAGAAGGCCAUCCCGUUGUACCAAAUGCUGAGGAAGACAGAUAACUUCGUCUGGAGUCCGGCUGCUGAUGAAGCAUUUGAGGACUUAAAGCGGCAGUUAGCCAAUCCGCCUGUUCUCGCAGCCCCGGUUGACAAGGAGCCACUAUUAUUGUAUGUAGCAGCCAAUGCUCGAGUAGUUAGCGUGGCUAUUGUGGUGGAACGCAAGGAGGCAGGCAAGGAAUAUCCGGUUCAGCGGCCGGUUUAUUAUAUCAGUGAGGUACUCAUUGAGUCCAAGCAAAGGUAUCCGCAUUGGCAGAAGCUAGUCUAUGGUGUCUUCAUGGCCAGCCGGAAGUUGAAGCAGUAUUUUCAAGGGCAUCCCAUCACUGUGGUCAGUUCAGCUCCCUUGGGUGAUAUCAUACAGAACCGGGAGGCGACUGGCCGGAUUGCCAAGUGGGCUAUAGAGCUUGGGCCACAUGGACUGAAGUAUGUACCUCGGACGGCGGUGAAGUCUCAAGCACUUGUCGAUUUCAUUAAUGAUUGGACAGAGUUGCAAGCACCAGAGGAGAAGUCGGAUCACACAUAUUGGACUAUUCAUUUUGAUGGAUCCAGGCAGUUGGAAGGCUCGGGGGCUGGAGUCGUAUUAACUUCCCCACGAGGUGAUAAGUUUUGUUAUGUUCUCCGCUUAAUGUUCCCUUGUACUAAUAAUGCAGCUGAGUACGAAGCCUUGCUCCAUGGUCUCCGGAUGGCUAAAGAGAUGAACUUAAGCCGGGUUAAGUGCUUUGGUGACUCGGACCUUGUGGCUCAGCAGGUGUCUAGCACUUGGGAUUCUAAGGACCCGCUCAUGGCCGCAUAUCGUCGGGAAGUGGAUAAUAUUGCGGGUUGCUUCAAGGGUUAUCAAGUGGAUCAUGUGGACCGCCGGAAGAAUGAAGCGGCGGACGCUUUAAGCCGGAUGGGUUCUCAGCGCAAACCGGUCCCGCCUAAUGUCUUUUUGGACGUAUUGCACAACCCGUCAGUACAGCUUCCGGGUGAAGCGGAUUUGGCUAUUCCUGAUCCGGAGGCUCAAUUAGUGGCAGCCCUACAUGCUAUUCCGGACUGGACGGUUCCUUUUCUUGCGUACAUGACCCGAGGGGAGUUGCCAAAAGAUGAGAUUCUGGCCAGACAGAUCGUCCGGCGAUCCAAGUCUAUGACGAUUCUCAAUGGUGAAUUACAUCAUUGCAGUAUAUCAGGGGCAUUUCAACGUUGUGUUUCGCCUGAGGAAGGCUAUGAAAUCUUAAGAGAAAUCCAUGAAGGGGAUUGUGGACACCACGCCGGUUCAAAGUCUCUGGUAGCAAAGGCGUUUCGUCACGGGUUUUACUGGUUGACAGCGCACGCUGAUGCGGAGGACUUGGUUAAACGGUGUGAUGGAUGUCAGAAAUUUUCAAGACGUGCUCACGUACCGGCUCAAGAGUUGAGGAUGAUCCCAAUAACGUGGACGUUUGCAACUUGGGGGCUGGAUAUGGUUGGACCCUUUAAAAGAUCCAAGGAUAAGAAAACCCACCUUUUGGUGGCAGUUGACAAAUUUACCAAGUGGGUUGAAGCGGAGCCUGUCAGCAAGUGUGAUGCAGCAACAGCGGUGCACUUCAUCAAAAAGGUGAUUUUCCGGUUUGGCUUUCCACACAGUAUCAUUACUGACAAUGGUACCAAUCUAUCCAAGGGUGCUAUGAAGGAGUUCUGUGAACGUGAGCACAUCCGGCUUGACGUGUCAUCAGUGGCACACCCCCAGUCCAAUGGACAGGCAGAAUGGGCUAAUCAAGAGAUCUUACGACACAUCAAACCCCGGCUUAUGGUCCCAUUACAAAGGACACCAGGAUGCUGGGUUGAAGAGCUACCAUCGGUGCUAUGGAGUAUCAAUACUACGCCAAACCGGUCUACUGGGUAUACGCCGUUCUUCAUGGUCUAUGGAGCAGAGGCAGUUCUCCCCAGCGAUAUCCGGCACGAUUCGCCUCGUGUGGCAGCUUAUGUUGAAGCGGACAAUGAGACAGCACGGCAAGACGCUUUGGACUUAUUGGACGAGGAGCGUGAUAUAGCAGCCGCCCAUUCGGCGAUUUACCAGCAAGAUCUUCGUCGUUAUCACAGUCGCCGGGUUAGAACCAGAACCUUUCAAGAAGGAGAUUUGGUGCUUCGACUCAUCCAAGACCAGACAGAUAUGCACAAGUUAUCCCCACCUUGGGAGGGACCUUUCGUGGUCAGCAAGAAUCUGCACAACGGGUCAUACUAUCUGAUUGAUAUUCGAGAGCAUCAAGACUCACGCACAUCAGAGGAGGAGACCAACAGGCCGUGGAACAUAGCUCAUCUUCGGCCUUACUACACUUGAGCCAUUGGCUCUAUCUAUGUACAUAGCAUGACAGUGUAUAUAUUAUCUUGGAUAUAAUAAAACCGGAGCCUCAGCUAAAGCGGGGUCUUUGUCUUUCUUAUCAUGCGUGGUUACAUGGAGUACCUCUAUUUUUAAAGCGGCCUUUGGUUUACCCCUUGACAUUUGCUUUUUUAUAUCACUAGGGGCCUUGGUCGAGUCCGAACCAACGCGACACCUUUUGAUAGGCGACAGCCACCAGAUCAUUUGGGGACAUGGUCAAGUCUGAACCAGUCACGCCUCUUGGUCGGCCUAAGGCCAUCAAAUCACUUGGGGGUAUGGUCGAACCCGAACCAUUACCACGCCUCUUGAUCUGGCAUAUAUGCCAUGAGUCAUUUGGGGACCUGGCUGACUUGAAUCAUUGUCACACCUAUUGGGGCUUGAUCCUGUCCGACCAUGGUAAUACCAUCUGAACAGCUCAGUAUAGCGUAUGUUUUCAAAACGGUUUUAUCAUUGCCUUGGUUUCCAUGUUGUUUUCAUGGCUUGUUUGAUCUUUGUUUUUGUUGGAUUUCUUUUUCAACAAAGACAUCUUUUUUCCGGUUCAGCCGAUGGAUUUGGUUUCCCUUUAAUCCGGAGAUGUAGGCCCGGUUUACCUUUUCCUGUUACCCUCAUCGAGUAACAAGGGGGCUUGUGUUGAUUCAGCACGGUUUAUAUGGGAGCUGUUCUCUCCCCGCUUUAUUGACGGUAAUGGUUUAUAAAACCUCCGCUUCAAGCUUGGCUAAGCCAGCUUCAUGCCCAGACAUGGCAGGUACUUGUAUCAUCUAUUUGUUGUGUUACUAAUACAUAUAUCAAGAUCAUAAACCGGCUGGCGGUAUAACCACCACUGAAGUUCAAAUUUUUCUGAUUGCAGGAAACAUGAAUCGAGGUUUUUCGAACAAAAAGCUUCAGUACUUAUGCACGAAGGCAUAUUCAAGAUAGAAGUAUUAAACUAUCCUAUUACAAGGCAACACGGUGCCCAAAUACGAUCAUUGUUCUUUUGGACAGAUGCCAAAGACAGCUAUUCAGACCGGCCUCCGGUUCAAGCCUGCUCCUCAUCCUCCACCGCUUCAGCUUCCUCGUCUCUACCCAUUGGCUGGAAAUCAACAGUGGUCCAGUCGAUUCCCAUUAAAGCUUGGAAAACAGCCUCUUCAUGGAUCAGGGAAGACGGUUCAAUAUCAGGAGCGUAAGUGUGCUUAUGGAUUGGAGGGAUCAGAUUUUCCGCUUCAAGAGUUGGGGCAGGCACUCGCUUGUUCUGGUCAUUGUACUGUGCUUAAUAAUGCGUCAAGUCUGCUUCUUCAGCCAGCUGACAAGCCAGAGGGCGCACUGCACGGUUUAUUGCCCGUAAAUCCUCUUCAUUAAAAUCAGAGCCAUCUUCCUUCACACUGGGAUAGCCUUGAGCUGCUUCCACAGGGUCAAAAUCCGGUACCCAUGCCUUGGCCCGGAUCAAAGCAUUAAUAGCCCCGGUUCGAGCAGCAGAUUUCUUCAGCUCCUCAAUCCGGGCCUGAAGCAUGGACAACCUGUUCAGCGUAUCUUGGAGUAAAGAAGGUGCCGGGUUGUUAUGAGAAGCUGUGGUGAUGAUCCGCUAGGCUCCGGUAUAUAGUUGUUCUACUAAGGUGUAGACAACCUUCAGUUUCCUCCGCACGUCGUUUCCUAAGUACCCGAUGCGUGUGCCUACAACAACAAAGAGACAGUCUCAAACCGGAUUUAUACUACAGCAGGUUGAAAUCAUCGCACACGUUUAAAGGUGCUUACCAAAGAUCGUCGCGGUCAUGGAGUGUACUUGCCGCUUUACAGAUGUAAGUUCAUCUACCACCGGUUUAAGGGCAGCUUCUGCAUUUUCCGCUCGUUUGAUUAAGGUGGCUUUCUCAGUGGCCCAAUCAGCCCGUUCUUUCUUGAAGCCUUCUUUCAGCUGUUCAGUGGUGUUCAGAGCACUGCUCAAUUCUUUCUUGGCCUUGUCUGUUUCGGCCUGUUGGGUUUUCAGCGCCUCCUGUAAAUCGGCAAUCCGGUCCUCCUUGAUUCUCACCUCAGCCUGCAUACAGACAGUAUUUUCAACAAGAGGUUCAAGACAUUGAAGUAUCAACCACAUAACAAAGUUAUAUGCCUAAUACUUGGGGGCUAAUGCACCUUCAAUUUUUAUGCAUGUUACUAGGUUGCAAAGUCCCAAGCUCAAUACAAGUAUUCAACUUGGCACUUGGGGGCUAAUGGCUAUUUGAUCUACGUAUGUUUCCAAGGACAGUUUCAUAUUCAAGCCCCGGUUUAAGUAUGCUAAGUUAAACCGGCCCUUGGGGGCUAUACAGGUGGAUUUCAAGUGUUAAGGAACAUAAUUCAAGUCCCGGUUUGAUCAAGGUUACAAACCGGCCCUUGGGGGCUAGGAGGAUUGAUACAAUGGCAGUAAGUAAAGAAGUGGGUUACCUCAAAUUUAUCCCUCAUCAUUUUGACCAGGCCAGCUUCACAGUCACGGCUGGUAUAAAGCCGGUUCAAAUAACCGGAAUGAAGGUCUUGGGCACUCAGAGCAGCAUAUGUCUCCAGUUCAACAUCCCAUUUUCCUUUAUUCAGAGCGGAAACAUCCUCUUUCACAGUAUGUCUGGUUAAGGUGGCAGGAUUUCCCGGUUCAAAGCGGCCCACACCAGUAAUCACGACGUCAUCAUCUUUGGACUCGACGGUUUGUGUGGGCGUGGCUGUUUUGUCAGCAGGACUGUGGGAUUUCUCAAUCCGGACGGAGCUGGCAGGCGGAUCGGCAGCGAUUGAAGUGUUAACAGGCCUCUCUUCGGGAAUAACAUCAUCUUGUAAUGGAGGAUCAUUGGGAAUAUCUUCAGCGGCAAAAUCUUCAAGAUCUGGCGCUAUCUCAUGAUCUGGGGCAACAUCUUCUUCAGCCGCUUUAUCCAAAUGGGCCUUCUUGCUUGGUUUCGGUUUGGCCCUAAAAGAAAAAACAAAGAGUCAGUGAAAAGCAUAAGCCAUUACACAAUAUACUAGAAGCAUAUGCUCGGUUUUGCUUACCCGGCAACUAUUUUCAAUGGUGGUAACUGAGUGGCUGAUGAUUCACCAUAGGAUGAAUGGGAAGUGACCUGAUAAUCGGAGUCGGACGGAUUAAGAGGUUGACGGAACAAACCCGCUUUAGAAUUUAAAGCAAUAAAAAGGUCGGAGACCUCGGAGCGGCGCUUUCAAACCGGGCUGUUUGGUAAACCGGCAGAGGUAACUACCUGACCACUAUGCCGGGUUGUGCGGCGAGCUUCAUGUUGCUGCGUCUUCAUAAGAAAUUUGGGAUCCAAAUAAGCAAGAGCGUGAGAAAAAUUAACUUUCCGGUUUGCCUGGCGAAAUUUUGGCAAAGGCAAGUUUUCUGAAUCGGAAGAGAGAAUAGUUACCUCAGCAAAUCCCGCAUUGCUGGCCUCAGCGUCGUCCUGACAAGCAUCAUCAUCAAUAAGGCGUGUAAAAAGUAAGCCAAGUGAAUCAAGUUCUACCUCAAGAUCCGGAUUACCCACAUCAUCAUCAAUAGCAGGAUCAGAUGAAGCGGUGGUUUUUCUCUUGUGAGCUGGUUUCUUAAUAACCUUGGUCUUGGGCCGGGUUGGCCGCCCUGCCUUCUCCGCUUUAUCUUGUGAAAGUUUCUUACUCCAAAACGGAUUAUCACCCUGGGUCAGAAGCAAUUAAAUGUCAGACACAUAAAGCAGUUAACAGGUUUAAUGAUGGAGCAAUUAUGAUCUUACCGCUGGUGGUUUGUUGGUGGUACAGGAAGGAGGCAGACCAGUCUGAGCACAAAGGUGCUCCGGUUCAUUUAACAUCUUCUUUACAGAAUAUGUGACUUCAUCAUCAGAGAGUUGAAUUUUGGUGUGUCAGAGUGGGUCGUCGACACUAUCGGUAUACUUGCACAUCAAACCGGAGCGCCGGCUCAAAGGCAGUAUGCUCCAUGAUAUCCAGCAGCGUGCAAGGUCUAUUCCCGUUAAACCGUUGGCCAUAAAAGCUCGACGCUUGGACAGUUGCGGAGCGUAUUUGCUUCUUUCCUUGGUGUUCAACCUUUGUGGAAAAGGGUGAGUGUUGCUCAGCCGCUCUGGACAGAAACCAGGCAAGGGAUUUUCAUCCUCAGGAGAGGUAUCUUUACAAUAAAACCAAGUCGCAUUCCACUCCUUGGGGUGAGUAUGGAGUUUGACGUGGGGAUAGGUGAUCUCCUUCCUCUUUUGAAUAGCCAUGCCACCCAAUUCAGUAUUGGGGCCGUCGGUGAAUUCAGUGCGACGGUUUAAAUGAAAGAGGUCUCUAAACAAUUCAACAGAAGGUUCCUCUUGAAGAUAUACUUCAGAUAGUACUUGAAAGUGGCAUAAAUUGGUGACGGAGUUGGGGCCAAUAUCCUGUGGACGGAGCUGAAAAUUGGCUAACACAUCCCGGUAAAAUUUAGAACCGGGCGGUUUGAAGCCCCGGGCCAGGUGAUCUGCGAAGACUACAACCUCUCCCUCCUGGGGUGUAGGAGGACACUCCUCUCCAGGAACCCUCCAGUGGAUUGUAUCUUUAUCGUCUAAAGCGCCAAUCGAGACUAGGUCCUCCAGCUGUGAUUCUGUGACGCGAGAAGGAACCCAGUUGCAUUCAUACACUUGUUUGGCCAUGGUGAGAUCUAGAAGAAAUAGUUUAUCCGGUUCAAGAACAUGCUGGAUAAAAGAAGGCGUUGAUCUAAACUACGAUAAACCGGAGGCAGUAUCUAUAAACCGGUUUUCUGCAAUGCAGUAUCAUGUGGAUUCUGGCGGUUCAACCAGGGGACUAAUGAUAUAUACCGGUUUAGCAAUUUUUCUAUGGAAAGUUAAACCGGCUGACCUAAGCAUUGGAAGCGAUUGAAGCUAUGGAUAAUUAAGUAUGCAGAAACAAGUUUUGCAAGAUCCUGUUACAGCUGCGGAUCAAACGCGAGCUCACAAAAAACAGAAAAUAUUUCAAGGAGUAAGGCAGAAAUGGAAGUGAACUAUGGAGCAGAUAUGUGCGGAAGAUCUAUGGGCUUAGAUGAGAAACUACAGCAGAUGCGUAGGGAUCACUAUUAAAUACAGCACAAGGUCAUGGAUCCGUUCAAAGUCAGAGAACAGAUAUGAACGCGCGUAGAACACAGCAUGAACAUGGAACCCUAAAGAACAGAUCUAGGUCAAGAAGAGGAGAAAGCUUACCAGGAAUGGAGAAGACGUGGAAAGAUGCCGCAAUGCUCGGGUACGUUCAAGUCGAUGCAGCGGCCCAAGACGAGGCAGAGGUCGAUGAUGGUGGCGGAGCUCCAAGACCAGCGGCGCGAGGAAGACGAAGAAGAAGGAGGCGAAGGGAAAGGAAAGAAAUGACCCUUCGGUCCUAUUUAUAAAGCAACAGAGCUAGGUCAAGCACGCGGAUCCAGGAGCUGUUGUUAAAAGAGGGCGUUAUAAAUGAUAAAAUUUCAGGAUGACGUCAUGCCGGUUUACAGCAACCAGAAGUGAUGACGAUACGGCGGUUUACCGAUCACUAGAAGAUGUCCAAGAUGCAAGUUUUUGUGAAGGAUUGACAUGAACCAGUUCAAAUCAAUCUGGGGCCUAAUGUUGGGGAUAUUACCACUAGGCGUAAACCGGCCAGCCUGGGCCGGGUUAACUUCAUUAGUGGUAUAAGCAGAGAAAGGCCCAAGGCCUGUAGUCGGUUUAGAACUUGUAGCCAUAAACCGGCCUGAUGUAUAACUUGUAUUGUAAGUUAGGAAUAGAGAGAUACCAACCGGGAUAUGAGUAUGAACCGGUUGGGACUCUAUGAACUGACGGGCGUCACCCGUGUAUAUAAGGGGACGACCCGGCGACGGUUCAAGGACAGACAACCACAACUCGAGCCUAGGCGAAGCUUGUUUGCUCCCUAGACAUCGAGACCACAUCAAUUCCAUCACAACUAGACGUAGGCUUUUACCUUCAUCGAAGGGGCCGAACUAGUAUAAAACUCUCGUGUCUUUGUGUCCGCUUUAACCCCUUCAAGUAAACUCGUAGCGAUGGCUCCACGACUAAGUCCUUUCACUAGGACAUCUGCCGUGACAAAUCCACGACA